CCGAUCCAAUCUAUACUUUAUCGCAGCUUCUAGAGGCCUCCCAGCUUCUAGCAUUGAAUCUAACAAUUUUUGGUCUUCCUUGGAAGUUGUGGGAAAUCCUGCGAGCAUCUGUUGGCAUUCUUCUUGCAAUUCCUUCACAGCUUUCCUUUCUGCACUUGGAAGUGGGGGCACAUCCCCAUCUGACCAAGUAGGCAAUGUUCGUGCUGCAGCUAUGNNNNNACAAAAGCAUCUCUAUUUCUCAUUAGCUGACUGUUAUGAUAAUAUUCUUCAGGAAGGCCAGAUAUAUUGAAUAUUGACAAGAAAGAAUCCAAAUGAAUGCGCGCAUUGCCAGAGAACUGGAUAACAUCCCAAGGAUUCACAGAUGAUGAAAAGCCAUAUCGCUGCAUAAACAUGUCAUUCUUCUGUCCAUUCAUGUAAUUGAUAGUCAUCUCUUCUCCUUUCUUAAUCUGUUGACCAGCAUUUAUCAUCACCUCAAGCAUGCGAUCCUUAAAUCGCCAAUGGAAAAAACAGUUCGGCUGGAAGGAAUGGUUUAGCAUAUCAGCAUAAGGAACUAGCAUGUUUGCAUCUUGAACUAAAGCACCAAUUCUCAUUUGCAUGUUAAUGCACCGAGAUUGCGCCAUACUAACAGCCCAAAUGAAUCUCUCAGGAUCACGUGCAAGGCGCUUUAUUUUGAGGGGAACACCAGAGUGCCAAUUUUUUUCCCAAAAUUCCAAG
rnacentral:misc_RNA from 1 species